CACGUAGUUAGCCGGGGCUUCUUAGUCAGGUACCGUCUUGUCUCGUUCCUGCUGAUAGAGCUUUACAUACCGAAAUACUUCUUCACUCACGCGGCGUCGCUGCAUCAGGGUUUCCCCCAUUGUGCAAUAUUCCCCACUGCUGCUUCCCGUAGGAGUUUGGGCCGUGUCUCAGUCCCAAUGUGGCCGUCCACCCUCUCAGGCCGGCUACUGAUCGUCGCUUUGGUAGGCCGUUACCCUGCCAACUGGCUAAUCAGACGCGGGUCCAUCCCAUACCACCGGAGUUUUUCACGCAGGAGCAUGCGCUCCCGUGCGCUUAUGCGGUAUUAGCACCUGUUUCCAGGUGGUAUCCCCCGGUAUGGGGCAGGUUACCCACGCGUUACUCACCCGUCCGCCACUAAGAUACUCAUUUCCAAAGUGCAAGCACUCCUUCCAUAAGCAUCCCCGUUCGACUUGCAUGUGUUAAGCACGCCGCCAGCGUUCAUCCUGAGCCAGGAUCAAACUCU
rnacentral:rRNA from 1 species